rnacentral:rRNA from 1 species
GUGAACGCUGGCGGUAGGCCUAACACAUGCAAGUCGAACGGCAGCACAGUAAGAGCUUGCUCUUACGGGUGGCGAGUGGCGGACGGGUGAGGAAUACAUCGGAAUCUACUUUUUCGUGGGGGAUAACGUAGGGAAACUUACGCUAAUACCGCAUACGACCUACGGGUGAAAGCAGGGGAUCUUCGGACCUUGCGCGAUUGAAUGAGCCGAUGUCGGAUUAGCUAGUUGGCGGGGCAAAGGCCCACCAAGGCGACGAUCCGUAGCUGGUCUGAGAGGAUGAUCAGCCACACUGGAACUGAGACACGGUCCAGACUCCUACGGGAGGCAGCAGUGGGGAAUAUUGGACAAAGGGCGCAAGCCUGAUCCAGCCAUACCGCGUGGGUGAAGAAGGCCUUCGGGUUGUAAAGCCCUUUUGUUGGGAAAGAAAAGCAGCAGGUUAAUACCCCGCUGUUCUGACGGUACCCAAAGAAUAAGCACCGGCUAACUUCGUG